rnacentral:tRNA from 1 species
CCGAGCGUAGCCCAACCGGCAGAGGCACGCGAUUUAAGCUCGCGUCAGUGCAGGUUCGAAUCCUGUCGCUCGGA